UUGCAAACAUUUAUUUUUUGAUUUAACCCACCACCACUAUGACCACCGACAUCUAAUCACUAAAAAUUGGGUAAAUGACUAUCUUACUUGUUUUUAUCAAUCUUUCUUAGAUCUAUAUAUGGCUCACAUUUAUUUCAGUGUUUACUAUUAGAAGUGUUUUGGGUCUUUAUUUAGAAAUUUGGUGAUGCCUUUGUUUUCGUUUUAAGAUGGAGUCUUGCUCUGUCUCCCGAGCUGGAGUGCAGUGGCACGAUCUCCACUCACUGCAGCCUCCACCUCCUGGGAGAAUCACUUGAACCCAGGAGGCAGAGGUUGCAGUGAGCUGAGAUCAUGCCAUUGUACUCCAGUCUCAUGCCAUUGCACUCCAGGGCAACAAGAGUGAAACUCUGUCUCAAAAAAAAAAAAAAAAAAUUGUUAUGUUUUAAGAAGCAUGAGUGUCAAUUAUCUAAAGGUAAAUUGGGUAUGAUUCAGAGGAUAACAG
rnacentral:sRNA from 1 species